CUUUUCUGUCUAAUCAUGUUCAGCUGCUAGUAGCAAAAGGGGUUCUGUGAGUGCUGACCUAUAGUAAGUAUCUGGACUGAUGUGCCUCUGAAAUAACUGGGGAAUGAGGGAACAACUUGCUCCUACCAGAGCUUCUUGAGGUGUGCUUUGCAAAAGGUCCCCAGGAGAGAGAACAGAUCUUCACACAGAGCAUUAUUUUCUUGAAUAGAUGCCUUUCAAUUUUGACUUCAACUCUCAGAAAUGGAUUUUCAUUUAUACUGUGUCUGCAUUGCACUUCCCUGACUAUGUAAGGAGGCUUUAAAAUGGAUGUGCAUUGCACUUGCAGCCUCUUACAGCUUCUUUACAGAGCUACAGCAACGUCAAGAAAUUCUAGUGCCCGAGAGAAGACAUGUGGGACUGUUGGAAUGGAAGUGC